GUAUACAGCCAUGCCACCCUGAACAAACCCGAUCCCAUCUAAUCUCAGAAGCUAAGCAGGGUCGGGCCUGUUAGUAUCUGGAUGGGAGACCACCUAGAGACUAGGUGCUAUAGGCG
rnacentral:rRNA from 1 species